rnacentral:rRNA from 1 species
CCGACGGGUGAGUAACACGUAUGCAAUCCACCUGUAACAGGGGGGGUAACCCGGAGAAAUCCGGACUAAUACCCCAUAAUAUGGGCGCUCCGCAUGGAGAGCCCAUUAAAGAGAGCAAUUUUGGUUACAGACGAGCAUGCGCUCCAUUAGCCAGUUGGCGGGGUAACGGCCCACCAAAGCGACGAUGGAUAGGGGUUCUGAGAGGAAGGUCCCCCACAUUGGAACUGAGACACGGUCCAA